GACGAACGCUGGCGGCGUGCUUAACACAUGCAAGUCGAACGGUAAGGCCUUUCGGGGUACACGAGUGGCGAACGGGUGAGUAACACGUGGGUGAUCUGCCCUGCACUUUGGGAUAAGCCUGGGAAACUGGGUCUAAUACCGAAUAGGACCAUGGACUUCACGGUUUGUGGUGGAAAGCUUUUGCGGUGUGGAUGGGCCCGCGGCCUAUCAGCUUGUUGGUGGGGUAAUGGCCUACCAAGGCGACGACGGGUAGCCGGCCUGAGAGGGUGACCGGCCACACUGGGACAGAGAUACGGCCCAGACUCCUACGGGAGGCAGCAGUGGGGAAUAUUGCACAAUGGGCGCAAGCCUGAUGCAGCGACGCCGCGUGAGGGAUGACGGCCUCGGUUGGUAACCUCUUUCAGUCACAGACGAAGCGCAAGUGAC
rnacentral:rRNA from 1 species